UACAGAGACUGCAAGCGUUAUUCGGAUUCACUGGGCGUAAAGGGUGCGCAGGCGGCCGGGUGUGUCAGAUGUGAAAUCCCGAGGCUCAACCUCGGAACUGCGUCUGAAACUACUCGGCUAGAGUACUGGAGAGGGUAACGGAAUUCACGGUGUAGCAGUGAAAUGCGUAGAUAUCAGGAGGAACACCUGCGGUGUAGACGGCUUACUGGACCGUAACUGACGCUGAGGCACGAAAGCGUGGGUAGCAAACAGG
rnacentral:rRNA from 1 species